UGCUUUCAGAUUUAACAGAGCAGUUAGAACCAUUAGAUCGUUUUCAUUGCUGGCAUUAGGGCAGAGGAUCAGUUUUUUUCCCUGUAUAAUCCAACAAAGUAGGUCAGUGUCUAUUGAGUAUUAGUGCUGUGGCUGUGAUCCUGUUGUUUCAGCUCCAGGGCAUGGAAUUAACCCCAGAGACAGCUAAACUGGAUAGGGCAAAGGUUUUGGGAAGGGUAGGUUGGGGGUAGGACUUCAGGCACCCCUGGACAUGGGUGUAAACUGUGGAGGGCACCUCCUCACCUCUAACGGGUCUUGACACCCAGCUCCUGCUUAUUCCAGGAUCUUGGAAAACUGAGUCUGUUUCCCUCCAGCGUGGACUUCAGACCCUGUUAGUGUACUCUCCUCACACUGUGACCCUUCCUCGCUUUAGAUUUAGCUCUACACUCAACCUACACAGAAUUUUUGUCUGAUGUGAAACUACAUGCUCUGUUUGGCUGAUAAAAUACUCAAAAUAUAUUUUUCUUUUCCUCUUUUUUCCUGGAAAAAGUUCAUAUUUUUGCUAUUUAGACAUCAGGCCUCAGCAUGCAUCGAGUCUAAUCAGUAAACCUCCGCAGGCAAAGAGGGCCGAGAUAUAAAUUUGCAUGUGAAAAUCUGCUACAUACUGAAUUUAACAAAUAAGAAAUAGAAGUUUUAGUGGCUGAAACCUCUGCACAGAUGAAUCGUGUGCACGCAGCAAGAUUUGUGCAUGCAUUAUUUAAAUCUUGCAUCACUUGAAGGAGCGUCAAACAGCUCAGUGAUCCCGUCCGCAGCUGCCCAGUGAGUAAUUAUCAGUGAGAAAGCAGAAGGCACGUUUAAGAUCAGUGUCCUUAAUAACCACACCCAAGACCUCACACCCAAUGAGCUGAUGAGGGGGGAGUCACAGAUCAUGCCAGAUUAGUGCAGCUUGUUUUGCUGCGGCGGUUGAAGCCCCCACUCUACACACACACACACUGCUUGUCACUGCUGCCCUCUUAAUGUGGAAGCAAGUUUAUUUUGACAGAUAGAGAAUGAAUGGCAGAAGGACCGAGCGUAGCUCCGGUUAUAAACUGCAGUGACAUGAUGAGUAUGAAAAGUGACAACAGGAAAACAGAGAUAAUUUUAGGCAGCCAUCUUUUUUAUGAAAGGUGCAAAUAACCCAGUCAAGAAAGAAUUAAGACAUUCAAAGGCUUCAGGGUCACAUUUGCUGGUGUAGUGCAGCUCAGUGCUAAGCUGUGACUGUGUUUACCCAUGCUGAAAAUAUAUACUCUACGUGACACAUUUGACGGGACUUGCAUGGAAGUUUCCACAAAAUUUAAUAUGUGUUUAAAUGAUAUUCAGAUAAAAUAUUUUGAAAUAGUAUUUGGGGUGUAUUUUUUGUCUUAUCCUUGACCAUAUAUGACACCUAUCUGGGGUGAAAAUGCAACAAAGCAGAGAAUCUUCGGCUACAGUGUCCAGCCCGCACAAUCACAGAUGAACCAAAAGCCAGCAGUGGUGCCUCUAAAGCAAUCUAUGACGCUAUUAAAAGUGACAGCAGCUGCUCUGUCUGUCCUUGUGCACGGUAUCAGUAAUUCCCUCUGCCACUCCUUAAAGAGCCAGGUGCCCUUAUGCUCAACCUUUGUACGGGUGCUAAGAGGCGCCAUGAUCACCUGUUCCUUUUUUUAUAAUUCAUGAAAGGUGACGUAAAGCAGUGAAAUCGGAUAACAAAAAUAGUAAAUCCUCCACUCUUCUGCUUUGCAGUUUGCGAAUUCAUGUGCAGUUAGCGUGUUACUUCUAGUGAUGAAUCCACACAGCGGAUGCCUCGACCUGAAUCAACCUAUGGUCGUGAUGCAGGCAAAGUUUGCCGGGUUGAAUCCCAAGUGAACUGCUGUUGUUGGUGUGACCUAAAUAGGGCAGUUUGGCACAUUUACCUCAGUUGGCCCACACAGACAGAAGAAGGGAAGAGAGUGCAGAGGAGAUGAGGUUGAGACAGGAGGAGCAGCACACAGAGAGAGAGAGGGAGAGAGGGAGGGCUUAACAAAGUGUUAGAGCAUGCCUGCAUACUGUAAGAGAAAUACUGAGGGGGAGGGGUAGUACAAGGAUAAUUUUAACUAUGUCAAAAAAACGUCAAAAAAUAAAAAAAGCAGCAGUUACUCAAUAUGGAAGAUAUUUCUGCUCAGAAUAUUGUAAGUGUGAAGAAGAGGGGUCUGCUCUGUUGUUAAAGGUCUGAUUAUAAUUCACCAGAUACACUCAGCAUCACUGUGUAAUCACAAAGUAUAGAUCAAUAACCUGGCUGAACAAAUCAGAUCUAUAACUGGACAUAAAUGAGUUUGUGUUAUUAGUACUUCUACAUGCUCCACACAGGAUUCAUUGGUAACUGGUGACUCAUUAUUUGAACAGGUAUAGAUCAGUAGAAAUAUCAUGCUUUGCGUUCUUUUUUCAGUCUUAGUUAUUUUUGGGACAUUUUUGCCUUUGUUGAUGGGUCAGCUGAAAGGAGAAUGAAAAUGUGAAAAGCAGAGUGGGAGAAGACCUGCAGCAAUGGGUCGAAUCAGUGUUGGACAUAUUACUGACAAUGACUAAUUCCUACAGUGAAUAGUUUCUCUUCUAUCUUUGAUCACAUUGGUUCAGGCCUAACAGACCUUGGGACCAAAAUGUUGUGCAGCUUAAGAAAUAUACUAAGUUCAGUAUUGGUUCGAUGUGGUCCUGAUAAAGUCAGAAUAUCACUGAAAUGCUGGGAUUAAAUAUUACUUGCUUCACUUGUCACUUGAAAAACAUUUCAAAUGAGUACAGAGAGCAACAAGCUGAUGUUCAAAUAUAUUAAACAUUUCCGUGCUUCAUUUAACAGUUUUAACAAACUUGACACAGCAUAACAAAAACAGCAGCCCAGUAAGACUUGAAAGAAAAAUUCGCACUCGUACAGAAAACAUCGAUAAACAUACUAUGGGAGUGAAUUCCAUAAACUGGAACAGUAAAGUAACAUUAAAGCAGCCGUUUGUUGGCAACACAAGUGGUCUGAUCAAUGAUCUUUGAUAUUUUUUGCUAGCAACAUAAUCUAUUUUGUUGACUUGGAUUGAACGCAGCUCUAUCUUUAUUCACAACAUAACCACUCGACGUUGUGCUGCUUAAUUAAUUAAUUGUCAAAGAUGACAUCUAUUUGGUGGCUUUUAUUUAAAUACUCCCAAAAGGCACUUCUGUUUUUGAGAUGUUUUCUCAUUGCUCAGGGUAGCUCUGAUCACACUCAUUUUUGUAGAAAAACAGGGCUCUGUAUUAAUUAAUUUAGGUUAAGAGCACAUGCAAUGGUCAGGUUACAAUAAGAGUGCCCUCUACUGGAUCAGAGGACAAACUACAGUACGAUUGCCUCAUGCACUGAUAUGUUGUAUACUUUGAAUUCAAUGGCUCAUUACAGUUUGAAUAUGAUAUUUCUCCAAAUGAAGACGUUCACCUAAGAAGUGACAGUCUUGUUACCUGCCUCUCUACCAGGCGUAAGUGGCAGCAUGACUGCAUAUUUGGGGUGGGGGCGUGUGGGGCCAUUUGUCUCAGUCUUUGGUGUUUGUACAGUGGGGGCUUCGGCUUACACUAAGGGGGAGAAAAACAGUGCCUCCACCUGAACAUGUCUACUACUGAGAACAACUACGGCUAAUCUUCUGAAGGAAUAUAUUUACAACCUGCAGCAAUAGUCUCCUGCCUUUGCCUUCAAAGCUGAUCUGAAUAGUAAACCCACUGACUAAAAACCUGUGUGCAAAAGAUGCUACACGACAGCAUCAUGUGAGUGAGGGAGGAAACUUUGAACCUCAUCAAGCGCCUCAGUCACAGAAAACCAGACCCCUCUUAAGAGCAGAAAACUCAUGAAGGCAGCAUACAUAAGCUAGAAGGCUAGCAAACUUGUAGGAUUCUGAUGAGCUUUUGAAUUAUUAGUAUUGUAUUGUAAGUGUUGGCUGAUCAAAACCGUGUCAAGAUCAGACCCAUCCUGCAUAUGAAAUCACAUAACAAGCCUAUUAAAACACUGGAGUAUGAUGGAUGUUUAAUCUCGGCUAUGAUUUAGUUUGAGUCAGAUGGUUGAUAUUAUGCAUCACUUAGUUAUUUGACAUCAAGUUAUAAGGAACAAGUCCAGCUACAUUUCUGUAAUCAUCACAGCGAUACUGAAUUAGAAACAAAACUAGAUUUAGUACAAGUUACCACAAAUAGCAGUAGAGUUACAGUAACUGGAUACUGAUGGACAUGUUACUCAACAUACUGCCAGUGAUUAUAGCUUUAAGUCAUUUCUCUUCUAACACUCAAAUGGGCUUUGAUUCAAGAGAAAUAAUUUGAAGGACAGGUGAAAGGAAAGGCUGAAAACCUUGGUAAAAAAAAAAAAACUCAAUAUACAUUAGGCAAAGUUAGAACAUGUGCUAAUGUUGCUGCAUAUUUUUACAAAUGUACCUAUAUUGAAAAGUUUCUCUAAAAACUUUAAGCUGUCACGUGCAUUUGCAUACCGUAAGCACUUUAUAUAAAUGCUUUUACCUUGUCUUACUUUAAAAUACACAAAUAUAAACUUUAUCAUCAACAAGGUUAUCAUGAAGAGGAAACUGAGGAACUGAAAUUAAAUGAGACCUUACUGACGAACUGUAACUUAAUAAAACCAAAUAUCACAGAGAAAAUGCCCUUUGUUCUUCUGUUUGGCACAAGUACCCUCACUGACACACAUCCUCUCCUGUUGGUCUUUCUCAGAAGCAGCACUAGGAUGGGAAUUUAGCUUGGCUAGACCUUUAACAGCAGAAGUUCAAACUUUUCCCCUCUAUCACUCAAUAUUCUAUUGUUGAGGACUUUUGAAAAGCUUGUUAGAGAUAUUUCUCUGAAACAAUUACGAUACCAAGAUAGCUUUUUGUUUUCCCUCUGACUGUCAUAAUUCUGAUGGACGCAGGCAAGUAAAAAAAUCCUGUUUUUUCUCUUUCUUUGCUAUAUUUGUAAAAGUCAUAUACACAUCUUUUUUUUUUUUUCAGAGCACUGUUAUAAGUGCUGAGGAACAUUGCCUUGUUGUGAAGAUCAGGGUGUACUUUUGUUUAGUUUUACUGAUGAGGGUGAGGGAGAGGUCCAGGUUAACUUUUACUUUAACUUUUCGUGUUAAUUGAAGAGAGAGAAGCACACUACAGUGACACACAUCCACGAGGAGGCAGUGGACUGCCAUCAAGGUAAAAGUUCAGUCCAUGUCUUUCUCUGUAGUCCCUGAAGAGUGGGGAAGCUUUUCUCUCAACCCUGUGACUCAUGUUUGGUGAAUAGUUGUGGUUGUUCGUCUUUUGUACUGAAAUACUGAACAGUAUGAUGUUUUGACUUUUUACAUCCCUAUACCUAUUUUGGAUUCACAUGUGACAAGUAUCAUAUGACAUAAAACAAAAUUUCUCAGUAAAACUCAUAAAAAUUUAACGAAAACGAAUAGAAAAAAAAGAGAAAACAGCUGAAACCGGAGACAAAAAGUUAAAGAAAUAUUAAAAUAAAAAAUAAAAAAAUUUCAAAACUGUUAUAACCUUAAAGUAAAUUUUACUUUUGGCGUCUAUGACUUUGGUGACUUGGCAUUUGUUUAUAUCCUGUUUUGAACAUAAUCUAAUAUUUUUCUGCAGUUUUUAUUUUAUAUAUCUUACCAUUUUAAAUGUGAGCAUUGAAGAAUUAGUUGCAAGUAACUUUCUUAAAAUAAGAGAAUUUUUUUAUAUUCCAAAUUGUAGAAGGUAUUGAGAAGUCUGUUGCUGACUUACUUCCUUGGUCAUUUGAAUAAUUUGAUUUGACAUAAACUUAUGAUGUAUCAAUGUAUAAAGAUUUAUCUGGGGCUGCACAAUAUAGAAAAAAUAAAACUCAUGCUGGGAUCAUAAUCUUUCUGCUAAACAUAUUGUGAUAUGAUAAAACAAAAAUUUAAACCAGAUAAAUGCAGUGUAUUUUAAUAGAAACAUUUAAAUUUUAACAGAAGUAUAUUAUGAUGGCUGCGGCUUUGCACUCACAGCUGUCAUUUUAUCCAUGAGUUUAAGUGAGAAACUGCAUUAAAGUCAUUUUAGAUAUUUUUUAAUUGUACGUUAAUUCUAGACAGCAAGGAAGUGGUGACAGCAUGUUGUGUUGCAGGUCAUAUGACUGACAGUGCAUGUUCUGUAAUAUGACUGAAGUGCAAUGCACAUCUCAGUUAUGUUAAAAUGAUUCGUCAUUCAGCUCUUGGAUUGGUCCCUCUUUUCCACCCCUAAUUGUAAAGUUUUAGGAUAACACAGUUAUGAUUGUAAGAAAUAUGAGCAUACACUUGGCCCUUAGGAUAAGUAGAGUUUGUAAAGAUUGACCCAGAUGAUUGCUUUUACAGAUUUAUUUAUGAGUUAUUUGCUUCGGUAGUUUAGCUCACUGCAACUAGGGUCAGUGAACUCGGCUGUAAAUUAUCUUAUUUGCCACACUGUGAGAGGCGCAGCAGGUGACAAACAGUAGCUAGUACCCCAAAACUAACUUGGUUAACUACAACAGAAGGAAAAUCAUCGCUUUCAAAAGGGGUGGAAGAAAAAACACACCUAUGAAGCUACUUUUAACAAUCAUACACUGAUUAAUAAAGUUAAAAAAAGAACGGUAUUUUCUGCUCUUUCAUUAGUAUACAGAUUACAUUACUUUGACUUGGUCUUUGUAGAGGAAUGCUCAGCAGAAACAAAAGAACCUGGAGUGCUUCAAGGGGUGAUGUUGUUGGGGUGUGUGUGUGGGGGGCAAAGCCAUACCAUAGAUCAUAAGGUGCUCUUCAUCCUGUAGAGGGCAGUGAAGACACAUGGCACGGCGUGAGCCUGAGUUCUGUCCUGUCCUCUCAGAUCACAGAGUACAUUUAAUAUUUCCAAGCAUGCCAUCUCCUACAUCAACACAACACUUACAUGCAGUAAUGACAUGAAAUAAAACAGCCAGUAACUUGCAGCAUGAUACUGGCAGGAAUCGUCAGGCCACUUGAUCGAUAAAAGACCUCAAAACAAGAGUUAUUUGUGAGUGUUUUUAAAACAGGUGAAGAUGUGAGUGUAUAACCUGGUAAUGUAAAUUAAUAUUUUUGUAGGUUAUACAAAAAGUUUAAUAUUUUUUUCUUUAGGGGCCUGCAGAUGAGUGCAAACUCCAGCAAGUUUUUAUAUUGAAUUAUUUGAGACCUCACUCGUAGGUAAAUGCACCAAAAGUCUCCUUUAGUAAUUGGCUAUUUAACUUCUGUAAAGUUCAGGGACUAGUUAGAGUUAACCGUAAAUAAACUAAGUCAUCAAGCAGAAGAAGUAUCCUGACUUUAUUCCUGUUAUGGUUCCUGUCAUGUCAGCGUAUCCUACAGAUUCUCCAGAGCAACUCAGUUUAAUAACAGCAUCCUCGACAAAACUCUCUCUUUUUAAAUUACCUGUCACAAUUAACAAUAAAUGUUGUUAAGUCUCCAAUCAUCUUGUAGAGUACAGGUAACUGAGGGAAAUGUGUUUUACACAGACAGUUGUGAGAAUAAACAGUCAGUUAGUGGUUUAAAUCUCAGUAAAGCUGCAAACAACCUGUUAAUUCUCAGAGGUUUCAGAGGCACCAGGAACAUUUUACAACACAAGUGCUUUACCAAAAUAAAAUUUGGAUCCUUAUAAUAACUGCUCGAUUCCUUUGAAUAUAUACAGUCAAUUAGUAAAGUUGCAGAUGAUAUUUUAGAUGAUUGGAUUUCACAAAGUGACAAGUGACCAUGCCUCUUGUUGCAGCCACGUUUUUUACGACACACGUGAGCUUCUACUGUCAUGAAUUAAAGUGAGUUUGUUUUCCUCCUCACAGAAGGUUUAGUUUGUACCAGUGCCUUUAAAGAGAAUAUUUGUUACAUUGGCAUCUGGCUUUUUGAAGUACAAAGUAUUUUAUAUCUAUGCAUCACUAUACUGCAUGAUGCAAUCACUCAUGUGGUGUCUUCUUCCACUCCAGUUGGCAUUAUCGAGUUUUUCUUUCUUUCUCAUGAUUCAUAGUGAAGCAGUCAAGUGGAUUUAUGUGACUUUUCAAAAAGUGCAGCAUUUCAAAUGUGCUGAAACACUGGAGUUUUUAAAGUCCGAAACUGUUUGAAAUGAAAUGUUCAGGACUAUUUUGUAGCUAAUAAGCCGUAGAGGUGUCACUGAUCACCAACUACAUGGUUUGAUUUGGUUUGUUGUAACUUUUCCAGUGUUUCCCGCAGCUUUUUCGCUAUGAAAGGUGGGUGGGGAUGAGGGGGGCAUCGUAUGUUGUAGACAUGUCAUCCCCCGUAUUGCGUCAUACGACGUGGCGGGAGAUGAGCCAGUGCUGUUUUUGGGGCUGGGAGAGAUGCUUAAGCUUGCAUCCACAAGAGAAUUUGCGGUGUCCGCAAUGCUACGUACCACCUUUUUGAAGAAUGCAAAUAUUUCAAUUGGGGUGCUGAAUGUUCAGGGACAGUUCGGUGCCCAAUGAAAAAAAUUGUUUUUAAAAAAUUGUUUUGUGGACGGCAAACACGAUGGAAAGGAGCCAGAACCCCGGUUAACGCAAUAAUGUUUGUUUUUUUUUAAUUCAGUAACUCCGUUUCCGUUACCAAACACUGUGUUACUCUGUUGCUUUUGGUGAGGUUUUACAACGGCACACAGUUCCCAUAACAUUUUAGCGAUCAAUAAAGUUUAAUUGAAUUGGAAAAACAAAGCUCUUGUUACCCUCUGGCGUCACGUGAUCAAACAUGCGCCAUGAAGAGGAGUGGACAGGUCAGGGAACGGCGUAAUGGCCAGUGAGAAGGGGAAGAUAAUUUUCUCCUCAUGGACAUACUCAGAUUAUUUUCAACUCGAGAGCAAAAGAAAAAAAUAUUUCGGUAACAUGUAAACUGUGUCCCGGGCCAAAAAUGCAGCAAGCAACAGCAAUCUACUUAAGCACCUAGAGAAGCGGCGUGCUUCGACAAAGUUAGCAGCUAAGGUAGCACAGCAUCCGCAACCGAGAGUCACAUCAGCGAGCACACACCCACUCUAUGCAAGCAGCAAGGGUUAGAGUUCGUAAGAGGACCCAUAGCCUGGCACAAGUUGAUAAAACAAUAGCAGGGUCUGUUUAAUUGCCUAUGUAGAUUUUUUUUAGCGAUAUCAGGCCAAUGUUCCAGAGUCCAAUGGUAAAAUUUUGGUGUUAGUGUCAAGCUUUGUGUUGGUGCACAACGGAUCAUAUUCAGAUUAGAUUCAGCGAUGUAGGUGCAAAUGAAUUGAAACGAUUGUUUUAAUCAACAGUUUGUUUUAUUCAACAUCAGUUCUGAACUAAAAUGGCGGCUAGAGGGGAACUCAGUCAAUACAUCUUUAUGUAUUGGAAGCAUUGGAAGAACGUUUUACAGUAACUAAAUAGUUACUUUCUCAGUAACGCAUUACUUUUAGGUUUCAGUAACCGAGUUACUAACUGAGUUUCUUUUUCUAUAAAGUAACAAGUAACUGUAACAAGUUACUGUUUUUCAGUAACUAGCACAACACUGAUAUUAACCUACGACUUGUAUUUCGGUUAGGAUGUUGUUGGCAGGGCAGGCAUCCAUCGGCAGGGCGCUUCAUCCUGCCAAAUACACUAUAGGGAAAACACUGCUUUUCUACUUUUUGCUGAGACAUGACACAGAGUAAGAAUUUCAUAAGCACCACUUCAAUUUGACUUUUACAUUACAAAUAUUACAGAACUUAUAGUAAAUACCCCAAAUCCAGGAUCAACUGAACUUUUAGUCAUCUUCUGUGUGCGUGUUAACCCUCAUACUCCUACUCUGCUCCUGUUGUCUGACUUUUACCAUGUGUAAUUAUUGUUGCUGCUCUUGCUGCAGUGUUUCAGUGAGUAGAGUGAUACUAUGUCCCUGACCCGCGGCUGACCAACCAUGUUUACAUCAGGAAAUAGCAAAGCUGUGUGUUUCACCUCUUCAUCCAGAAAAUCUACAUGGUGUACUGGGAAAACUACUUCAUGCAGUCUCAGUUCGUGCUGGCAGCUAACAGAGUUUCCUGGUUGUUUUUGAAAGAGCUACUAAUGAUGACCACCCUCUUAGUGCAGCAAAAUGCAGUUAUUCAUCUUCUUUUUAUGGCUUUGCUAAUCAAACUUUGAAGGUGCCCCUGCCUCGCACACUCAGAGUAUCCAUGAGGCUGCACGCACAGAUGUCCAUUUUUCUCAUGCUUGUAUUUCUUUAAAGCAGAGGCGAGUCCUUUACAAACAGUUGAGACCUGUUGUUGCACAAGUUGAUGAUCAAUCUGAAGCUUGCACGCAUUCUGAGCUGUGCAGAGCUUGAAUCAUAGACCAAUCAUGAGUCACACUGCAUGUGCUCAACCAAGAUGCCUGGACAAAUGUGCAGGGGUGCAGAAUAUUACCAGGGUAGUAUUAGUACCAGCAGAUGAUAGACUGAGAAGUUAAUUUUUACUAUUGGCAUAUUCAAAAAGAUUUUUUUCUUGCCAGCAGGUACAUCUCUGUUAACCUUAACCUUAAUGUUACUUUGAAGUGUUUGAGACAGACAGUAGACAGUACUGACUAUAUUUCAUUGUUUUGGGUAGAAGCAAAUGUUUCUCUUGUUUUAAGUCUAUUUCUAAGAAAAUACACAGCCAUGAUAAAGGUAACGGGUCAAUUCUAGUACAUAAGAGACUAGGUGUUUUUCCCAAUUAAAGAAAUAGGUGUAUGUAUCAGAGCUGAUAUCAAUAUUGUCCAAAAUUAGUGUAAAAAUAUUGGAUAUGGACAAAUUAAAAUGUGUAUCCCCAUAAAUGACUUUUUUUUAUUAUUACUAUUCAACCAGUUUAUUUUUCCUAACUAUAUGAUCCUGAUAGUGUGACAUCUGAUUUAUUAUUAUUAUUAUUAUUAUUAUUAUUAUUGUUAUUAUUAUUUUUAUAUUACUAUUUUUAAUUAUCUGAAUCUCAAUAAAUAAGUUUGAGACAAUAAUGAGCCAUCAGUGAAUAAAGUGUAUUUUUCUGAGCAGUACUUCACCUGAACUUCAGUCCAUUAAUAUUGUCUGUCAACAACUUCUCUCCUCUCUCUUUUCAAAUUACAGCCCACUCGCUCCAAACUCCCCAGUUCUCAUACUUAUAUCCGCUGUAAAAAUACCAGGCCUCAGUGGGCACUGCAUAUAUGAAGACAAACAAAUCUGUGAGCUGUUAAAGGUACAGAGCUUGAACACUUAUGCACAAUGAUUAUUACAUGCCACUCAGAGACAGAAGGCCCCAGGAUCAAAUCCUCCUUGAUGCUUUUGGCUGUCUGAGUGCAGAUUUCAUCCAGUGUAGUGUAGUUAUACCUGCAGUAGCACAUUAGUGUCAAAUGGUCGAAAUUACUUCUGACCUGACCUUUUUUAUUUUGAAGAAGUAUAGAAGUUGCACACUUUGCAGACAGUACAGUCACAUUAUUUGAUUACCCACAAACAGGCAAGUUGCAUCACAUGCCCUUGAACUGUUCUGUAUUUACUUUGAGAUUUUCUUCUCUACUGUAGUCAUCUAGUUUGCUCAUCAUUUAUUCAUCCUAAAUUGUCAGAUUUAUCUUAUUCUUAAAUCACUGAUUGAAAUGGAUUCACUUCACACACAAUGGGAUCUCCUCCAUCACUUCCUCCUCUG